UGUAUAUAAAGAUAUAUAGAUAUAUAUAUAUAUAUAUAUAUAUAUAUAUAUAUAUAUAUAACUCUUUUUAUAUUUCACUUUAAAAAUGAAUUUUUACUUUACUAGAUCAAAUUACCAUUAAUCAUUUAUUUUUUUGUUUCUUUUUUAACUAGGUAUUGUACAAAUUUUGAAUUUGUGACUUCAUAGAAUUUGAUUUCUUAUUUAUAUCGAUAAAUAUUUUCAAUAAAAUUUAAAAUAAAUGAGUCAAACAUUUUAUCUAUUAAAUAAAUAAAAUUAGAAUUGUGAUUUUUUGGGGUCAAACUAGAUCCUUAUAUUUUGGCAUUUUAAACGCCACUUAACUUAAUUUAGAUAUAUUUAAUUUUGUGAUUGAUCUAUAAAUAUACUUCUUGGUCUUUCUUAAUUGUAAACUAUCAGUUCAUUAUUUAAUUUAUUUUGUCAUAAAAAAAAAUAAGAUGAAAAUUUAUUAUCGAUCAUCGCUUAUUGGUUUCGUCAUGCUCACAAUUCUUCUGCUUGGAGUAGUGGCGAAUGCUCAAAAAGGAGGACUAGUCCGAAAACAAUGUGUUGAACAAUACCCGGACCCAAAUGGAAAAUGUGUAAUCGACCAAUGUAAAGC